ACGGGGCAUUGCCUUAGUAGCGGCGAGUGAAGCGGCAAAAGCUCAAAUUUGAAAUCUGGCACUUUCAGUGUCCGAGUUGUAAUUUGAAGAAGGUAUCUUUGGGUCUGGCUCUUGUCUAUGUUUCUUGGAACAGAACGUCACAGAGGGUGAGAAUCCCGUGCGAUGAGAUGUCCCAGACCUAUGUAAAGUUCCUUCGAAGAGUCGAGUUGUUUGGGAAUGCAGCUCUAAGUGGGUGGUAAAUUCCAUCUAAAGCUAAAUAUUGGCGAGAGACCGAUAGCGAACAAGUACAGUGAUGGAAAGAUGAAAAGAACUUUGAAAAGAGAGUGAAAAAGUACGUGAAAUUGUUGAAAGGGAAGGGCUUGAGAUCAGACUUGGUAUUUUGUAUGUUACUCUCUCGGGGGUGGCCUCUACAGUUUACCGGGCCAGCAUCAGUUUGAGCGGUAGGAUAAGUGCAAAGAAAUGUGGCACUGCUUCGGUAGUGUGUUAUAGUCUUUGUCGAUACUGCCAGCUUAGACUGAGGACUGCGGCUUCGGCCUAGGAUGUUGGCAUAAUGAUCUUAAGUCGCCCGUCUUGAAMMMCGGAACCAAAA
rnacentral:rRNA from 1 species